CGUAACAAAGGUUUCCGUAGGUGAAGCUGCGGAAGGAUCAUUGGUCGAAACCUGCUCAGCAGAAAGACCCGUGAACAUGUUUUUACAAACACAUGUGGGGCAGCAGCUACUGUUGCUCCCCCCCUCAAAUCAACGAACACCGGCGCGGAUUGCGCCAAGGAAUAUGAACAUAAGCUGUAAGCCACAUGGGCCUCUCGUGUGUGCUUGCGGCAUCGUGUCGUUUUGAUACCUUAUAGAACGACUCUCGGCAACGGAUAUCUCGGCUCUCGCAUCGAUGAAGAACGUAGCGAAAUGCGAUACUUGGUGUGAAUUGCAGAAUCCCGUGAACCAUCGAGUCUUUGAACGCAAGUUGCGCCCGAAGCCUUCGGGCCGAGGGCACGUCUGCCUGGGCGUCACGCACCGCGUCGCCCCUCACCCCUUCAGGGUGUUGGGCGGAGAUUGGCCCCCCGUGUGCUUUCAGCGUGCGGUUGGCCUAAAUAUGGACCCUUGUGGCUGUGAAUGCCGCAACGAUUGGUGGUUUUUACUUCAUGGCCUUGUGCCAUCAAGCAUCUUGUUGCGACAUUUGUGGCCCUCGGAUUUCAAAGGACCCUAGAGGAAGCCCUCCCUUGGUAAGGGUGGGACUACUCAACCGUUGCGACCCCAGGUCAGGCGGGACUACCCGCUGAGUUUAAGCAUAUUCAAUAAAA
rnacentral:rRNA from 1 species